UUUUUUACUUAUCUUGUAAUCUCCUAUAUAAAGGGAACACUUAUUCAUUAAUAAAAUACAGAAACAUUCAGCUCUAAAUCUAUCGUUUCACAACGAAUCCAUCCAAAUGAUCUCAAACUGAAUACGCAAUCCAAAAUUAAUUUAGCGUUUAAUGUGACGGUGUGAAUAAACGCAAAAAUUUGACGAACUCGAAACCAAUAAAUGCAAAAAGUUCACGAACUCAAAGCCACAUGUAUGGUCUUUGAAGCUCACCCC
rnacentral:lncRNA from 1 species